UACGUAGGGUGCGAGCGUUGUCCGGAAUUACUGGGCGUAAAGAGCUCGUAGGUGGUUUUUGUCGCGUUGUCCGUGAAAAACUCACAACUCAAUUGUGGGCGUGCGGGGCGAUACGGGGCAGACUUGAGUACUGCAGGGGGAGACUGGAAUUCCUGGUGUAGCGGUGAAAAUGCGCAGAUAUCAGGAGGAACACCGGUGGCGAAGGCGGGGUCUCUGGGGCAGUAACUGACGUGAGGAGCGAAAAGCGUGGGGUAGCGAACAGG
rnacentral:rRNA from 1 species